AACUCGAGGCAAGGAACCCAUUUGGAGCGGAUGAGAUACUCGAUCUGCUUCAGGAGGGACUCCACGGUGAGAGGUGGCAGGUAGGAAAGGGUCUCGAACUUCUUGAUGCCCUCAAUUGGCCACACCUGCAAUUAGAUUAAAAUUAGCACACAAAGUGUGAUUUGAGACACAUAUCGAUGGAGUAUUUCACUUCACACAUAUCGGUAUGAUGAUAUACAUACCUGCAUGCUCGUGAUCCUGCCACCGUUGGAGACGCUGCCGAGGCCAGCGCCGGCAGAGCGGCGGCUGACGGGGAGCCCGGCGGUGGACUUGAGGCCCCGGAAAGGAGCAACAGCGGUAGCCGCCGCCGACAUCACUGUCGGACCCAUAGCAUCCACCCUUGUAUCACUAGAGUAUAUCUACUUAGCUAAUAUGCUAAGUUUGGCACGGAGAGAGGAGGUCGAGUGGACUUCAUUCCUGGUCACAAGGGUUUAUAUAUACCAUAUAACAUACGAGCAAUUUGUGAUUAAUUUGUUGUCGUUCUAGGAGAUGUGGAAAGGGUGGAUGCCGUUCGUUGGUUGCCUUAUCCGUUCUAGAGAAGGGAUGGAUGACCGACGCUCGCUCAGCCGUCUCCUUCGUCCAUCGUUGCCAAUCUUUCUAGCUAUAAUUGGAAGUUCCAAAGGAACAUACGGUUUCAUGCCUACUUCCAUCGGCCUAUCAUGUACCAAUCCAAUAAAAGGACAUCGUUCAACCAUCAAUCCAUGUGUGUGUAGUAAGUGAUUGGCUACGAACCUUCAGCUGACUUGCUUUAUUGGAUAUUUCUGUAAAGCGAGUCCACGGUGUGUGGGUUUAAAAUCUCGUGGCGGCAACUGUUGACGGGUGCAAAUAUCAGUAGCCUUAAAACAAUAAACUUUACUCCGUCCCUUCCGAAAUGCAAGAAUGUCCUAAGUCAAACUUCUUAUGCUGCAGGACCAUAGUUUUUGAGGUGUUCUUCUCACGAGUCCACGAAGAACGGGAAUUUUUUGGUGUCGGGUAAGGGCGGGGGAAUAUAUAGAUGCUAGCAUCAGCAUGACGGGCUAACGGGUCAGGUAGGAUUUUGGACGACGUAGCACCUGACAUGUGGGGGCCACAUGUAAGAAAACCUGUCAAAAUGUCAUAACCCUCUGUUUUGGUCAACUUGAUACAAUCUGAUACAAAACGUGUGGUUUUCCUGACAAAUUAGCAAAUUUUGUGUCUCUGUGAGAAGCACGCCCCAAAAACUGUGGUUCCGUGAAAUUUAUUCACUAGUUACACUUUAUCUACAAACAUCUACGAUUCUAAAAUAGUUUGGUAUAUAUUUUCCGUAAUAUAAUUAUUUGAUAUUCUAAAUUCGGGGAUUUGUUCUUAUAAACUUGGUCGAAGUUUAAAAAGUUUGACUUCGGACAAAGUUACGACUUUUUACAUUUAGGAAUGAAGGGAAUACAUUUUAGUAAAGCAAUUGAGGAAUUGACAGAAUUAAAUAUCUUAAAUUAUACUGGUCCAUCGUGUACUCAUGGCAACAAAAUAAAUUUAUAGUCGAAAAGUUGGACCAUGAAAACUUAAAACGUGAUACAUUAAAAUUGUUGAAUCACUCUACAUCUUGUAAUUUUCUCUUGCAACCUUCUGGCGCGCUACUCAUUCCACAUUUGGUACUAUAUGUAUAAAUGUAUAUAUAUACCGCAUUAGGAGCCUCUAUUACUGUUUUAGUAUAAAUAGCAGUUUCCAUCGACUAUGCACUUCAUUAACUUUUUCUUCACGAGAUAACUUGCUUAUCGAUUUUCUUUAAUUAUCCAGAUGGCUUCUACUAGUUUGUUUCCUUGCUUACUGGGAUUUCCGCAGACUUUACGGUUAGGUAUUAUUGUCGUGUGGACAACACGGUGGCCGGAUGUUGAGAUGAUGAUGUCCUUUAUCUCCGUGUUGCUUCUGAGGACUGCGGAUCCGAGGCUAGUGGCGGUAUGGGAUGCCUCUCUACCUCUUGAUCAGGUCAAUCCGGCUCAGCAAGAGGCGGAUCGAUGGUGGCCGGUGUGACUAGAAGCGGGGAGGUAUAUAUGAAACGUUUCUUGCUUCCAGCAUCUCUUCUAGCGGUAUAUAUGUCGUCAGCUGGUUGAGGGAUUGAUGGCAAUCGAUCAUGGCUACGAUGACAUGUAUACGCGCCGGUAGGAACACAUAUCAGGCAAUGUCGAUGCACCUGCAUUGGGCCCUUGCUGAAGGUGGUGGUGCGUAUGGCAGUCUAAAGAUUUAAGACACAAAUUUAGACUUAAAACUUAAAUAAUCAAUUUGUGCCAGCGGGAAACACACAAACACGUACCGGUAAAUUAUCAUAAUCAGAAUUUGUCGACGAAUUUGAUAUUCUUUUACAAAAUAUACUUAUCUUAAUAUGUAUAACCGGAGUUUAUAUUACAUGCCCCUCUCCCAACGAUAGUUGUAGUACUCUUAUAAUAGUAGUACUCAUGAAUACAGUUAAUCCGGGUUGUUGGGAGAGAUCACAUGCAUAAAUACAACAUGAAACAAACGUGUGAAAAAGGUACAUAAAAUCGGUGUGACCCGUUCUUGUAUUAUAAGAAAUCAACUUGCUUAGGCCUUGCCGGACUCCUCACAACCCGGUGGCUUGAAGGCGAUGAAGCUGAUGCACUGCACUUGCCUGGUGUUGUCGAAGCCGAUGAUGCGGACAUAGGCGUCAGGGUACUCCUUCUUCACCUCCUCCAGCUCCUUUAGCACCUGCGUGGCGUCGGUGCACCCGAACAUGGGAAGCUUCCACAUUGUCCAGUACCUGCCGUCGUAGUACCCGGGAGAGUUGCCGUGCUCACGGAAGACGAAACCGACCUUGCUGAACUCGAGGCAAGGAACCCACUUGGAGCGGAUGAGAUACUCGAUCUGCUUCAAGAGGGACUCCACGGUGAGAGGCGGCAGGUAGGAAAGGGUUUCGAACUUCUUGAUGCCCUCAAUUGGCCACACCUACAAUUAGAUUAAUAAUUAGCACCGAAAGUAUAAUUUGAGACACAUAUCAGUAUUUCACUUCAACAUAUGUACAUGAUGACAUACAUACCUGCAUGCACCUGAUCCUUCCACCGUUGGAGACGCUGCCGAGACCAGCGCUGGCUGAGCGGCGGCCGAUGGGGAGCCCGGCGGUGGACUUGAGGCCCUGGAAAGGAGCAACGGCAGUAGCCGCUGACGACAUCACUGUGGGAGCCAUCGUACACGUACGUAGAUAGCUAACAAGAGGAGGCAGGCUUGCUUGAGUGCUCUCUAGCUACAGCGGCUUAUAUAACUGUAGGCUCCCCACCCAUCCAAUAUCAGCACAAGAUCUAGGAGGGGUGGCUGCAGUUCGCCGCGCGGAUUUGCCCAGGCCACGCUGGCAUCCUACGGAUCAGGUCGGGCGCCACAUGGCCGCACGAAAUGGCGCGCGUUAUCCUCUGGACGGAUACAAUUGGCUGCAACGCACUCUGCAAAUCAUGCCAUGAAGUGACCAAUUUUCACCUAUCAGGAUAGAUCCAAUGUGCCACGGCAUGCACUCAAAAACAGAACUUGCUAAUCCCUCCAAUCCAUAAAAAAUCUCGCCCACUUAUUAGAAAAUUUGUAAUGAGUUAAUGCAAAAUGAGCAGCACUUUUUAUGAACUAGAGGAACAACAAAUUAAGAGAAACUCUUCUAAGAUCUUAUCGAGAACGAAGCUUGCCCCCGCGUCGCUCAGUCUGGGGCGACACGGGCGGCAACCACACCAGCCCCGGCAGCAGCCUCUCCCCGUCCUCUCCUCCCCCUCGCCGCCGCCGGGCAAAGCCCGCACGGGGACGGCGGCGGCGGGGCUGUUUUUCUUGGCGGGGGUGUCCUAGAGCUCUUGGCUGAGGCGUUUGAGGUGCUGCCUCAUCGUGGUCGCGGCGUCUCCGGCCCGAUCCGGCAGGCUAUGCCUCGUCUUCGGCUAGAUCCGGCCGGCUUCCUCCCGGAUCCGGUGUUUCCCCUCGUUCUUCCUCUCCCUGGUGCUCGGUCUGCUCGUGGCUGCGCGGCUUCACGGCGGCGCUCUUCGGCCGGAUCUAGCUACUCGUUGGCCAGAUCCGUCAUCUCCUCCGGCUGAUCCGGCAUGUCCCAGGUCUCUUCGUUUCCAUCAUUUUUCCUCUCAGUUUGGUGAGGCGGCUGAUUGAACUUCACCGGCGGCAGAUGGGCUGCUGCUGCGGCCAUACAUGGUCCAAGUCGGUCCUUUUCGAUGCCAUGGUGGCGUGGUUUUCAUUUUCGGUCGCGUCUUCGGCUGCUGCCCGUGUGCGAGGUAUGGACGUCGGCUCCGGUGUUUGGAGUGUUGCUCUGGAUGAAAACUGCCCGUGUGCGAGGUAUGCCGAAGACAACGAUGUUGUAGCGCCGUUUUCCUUCUUGGAGGUGUCGUCGAAGAGCUUCACUUUCCCUCACUUUGAUGUUUGGUGUCUUCGGGUGAAAACCUAAGAUUUGGCUAUGGCCAGAUCGGGCGACAACGGCGUUUUUACGUCGAUUUCCUCCUUGGGGGCGUUGUCAUGGAGACAACGACUCUUGGUGGCAUCGGGUGGUGUGGUCCGUCUAUGGUGGAGCUUGUUGUCUCGAGUUGUUGAAGGUUUGGUGGUGUCUCUUCUUGUGUCAUGUGUUAGCUUAGGCUGUCGGUUUGUGUCCGGCGAGAACGUGCGUUUCUUAUCCUUUGGUGCGGUUUCGGCAUGUGAUGCCUUUCGUCUUCACUAUCGUCACGUAGGUGUCGUGUUGUAUUCUCGGUGGUGUGUGGUCUUUCGGCUUAGCCAACGGCAAGUGGAGGUAUGAUCUCGGUUGUGUAUUGCCCUUCGACUUCAUCGGCGGCACAUCGGCGUCGCGGUGGGUCUCAGUGACGCGCAGCCCUUCGACUCUGCCGGCUACGUAGGUGUCAUGGUGCGGCCUUGACCCUGUGCUUCCCUUCAGCUACGGCGACGACAUAGUGUCUGGGUGGGCUCGUCAGAUCGACGCCUUUCGACUACAUCAACUAUGCUCUUCAUUGUGCAUUUAUUUUGCCAUUGACAUGUUUCAAGAGUCUAGGUUUUUUCCUUGUGUUUCUUUUAGCAAAUGCUGUUCUGCAGGCUGGCUUUUGCCCACCCGAUCAGAAAAGAAAAACAAAUUAAAGGCUAAAAUCAAGCGAUGUUAUAUUCCCUUAGCUAUUACAAAUAUGGAUGAUAAGAGUUAUUUAUCCUUUUUCAACGAGUAACCCUUUACUUGGAAGUUCCAUGUGCAUGGCGCUGCAAGAAAACAAACAUCAUAAUGGGGCAAGACUUUUUUUUUUAUAAACAUCCAAUUUGGGUUAAAGUCUGAAAGAAUUUGGCUAUCUGAACUUUCAGUUUCCACAUUCUUUUACCUACUCAAUUCUUCAGCCAACAGGAUCAAUGGCGACCUACUAACACCAACCAGAACACAUGGGUCACAAACACGAAAAAGGGCUAGAAGGCUACUUAUACACACUCAUGUGUACUGCGAGCAAAAGAACAUAAUGUACAAAACUUUACAAAAUCUAGGGAAUUAAGACCUUCCCGUAUGCUGUUGCUGCCGCUGCUGCUUCAUGCUGGCUCUCCUGGCAACAUCCCAUGGUUUGUGAGGCACACCUACACCUUGCUGGGAUGCGAAGAACGACUCGUAUCCCGGGGAGUCGAAAGCAAAACCAGUGUGCUUGGAGUUCUCUCGAGGGAGCAUGGAGAUCGCAUAGCUUCUUGCUUCUUCUGGGCUCAAAUGGCUCCUCUCAGGCAGAUGUAUCAUGCUGUAUUCGUGGGGGUCAUCCUUGUGCAUCUCCUGGAUUACUUGGUAGUCAUAGGGAAAGAGCCAUCUUUGGAGCCUGAGAAAGCACACAGCAUCAAAGACAACAAUUGAUUCAGCUACUUCAGUAUGUACAAUGGAAGGAAUAACAAACGGAUGGCAUUAACAAACAUAUAAUUUUGCAAAAGAGCUGGUAUCUUACGAUAGAUACAGGAAAUCACCAAAGAGAGCGAUGACUGGAGCAAGCAUUAGUGUGAGGUAGAAGAAAAAGGUACUCAUCAGAACAUAAAUCACAAAAUAUACAUUUUCCUGCACAAGGUACACAGCAUUAAGUCAAUGCAUUUGUAGCAAGUAAUCGUCAUCAGCAGUGUAAUAGCUACAUUAUUCACCCACCUGUCGGUCAAAUGAUGUCAUUAUCGCAGAAUAUAUGAAGAUAAACAGAAACCAGGCCGCUAUACUGCCAGCUACGCUGAAAUAAUGCCAUCUCGUGAUAGAAUUGCACGACAUGAGGAGACGUAGAUUAACAGUCACCACAACACAAGUAAAGGCCAUCGUGCUAACAUCCCAUUGACCAAGAAUCUUGCCAGAUGAACCGUGACCAUGCUGACUUGCAGCUGCAGUAAAGUAAUAGAACACUAUUGACUGGUAGAAGGCAAAGAAACCCCACACCGCAAUCACUUUCCACCGGAAGAAUGUGUUCCUAAUUCCUUCUUGGUAAAGUUGUGGGUAUUUUUUUGAUAGAGAUGCACUCACAUCCUGAAAGGGUUCAGUUUAGUGAAUGUAGCAAGGAGCGUCACUCCAGAACAAGAAAAGUAGAACAAAUACAAGCAACCAUACCUUAUCAAACAACCCAACCAUAAUUACAGGUAGUGCCGUGAAAAUGACAUUAUACAGAGACUGGAACCAGUCAUCAUAAAAUCGCUGACCAGAAAAGCCAGUUUGGAAAGUGAACCAGAACUGAGUUAGUGUAAAAGUCAGAUUCUUGUAGAAGAAGUAUGUGAUAACCUGAAACAGAAAGUGUCAAUGUUAAAAAAAUUAAACUACACAGAUUGGCAGCUACAAGCUAAGGGACCAAAGCAUACCUUGCACAAUCUCAAGUAUGACCACCGCCCAUGUACAAGAAGUAAAUCCGUAAGAUAUCGAAACUGAGCAAUGGCAAAAUCACUCGCCAUAACAGCUUGCAUUCCUUCUUGUCCGCUGAUGCCAAUACCAACAUGAGCAGCUUGAAUCAUACUCACAUCAUUAGCACCAUCACCAAUACUGAGAGUUAUCUUACGUGCACCUUUCCUAACUAAACUUGCAACCUACAAAUGUGUCAACAUUACAUGUUUUGGCAUCAUUCGAACCCAACAGGUUAUUAGGAAAUAAAUCCAAAAAUAAGAGACUUUGAGAUUGCUGAUGGGAUGGGUAACAACCAAAUAAGCACAUAUACAAUAAGUUAAUUAAUACUACCUUUGUUUCAAAAUAUUAUACCAAAACGUCUUAUAUUUUGAAACAGAGAUAGUACUUAUAGUACAAGAGUGUACAGGACAUUUAGUUAAGAGGCCAAAACUAGAAUAGCAAAAGCAACCAAUGCACAGUGGUUAAUAAUGAUCUUGUGAAUCAUGCACAAACUAUUUUGUUGUCAAGGUACAAAAUUGGAUCCUUUAAAAUGUAAUAAUAUCAAUAUCCCCCGUUUAUUGCCCAAGCAUCCUGAAAGGCAUGCAGCUGAGAGCUGCAGACCAUACUGCUAAUUAUUUCAUGGGAAAAGGCAAGGCAUGCAUGAUAAGAACGCUAAAAGCGAGAAUUGAUAUUUACCUGUGCCUUUUGCAGUGGAGAAACUCGACAACAUACAACUGAUUGGCAAAUUAAACUCAAACCAAGAAGAUUCACACGCAGAGCUGGGUCUAGAGCGUACAUCAAGCAUCGUCCAUCAAUAAUGAAAGCCAACUUUCGUCCUGGCGUGCUCCUCAAAGAACGGUGGGCUUCCUCAAGGUAACUUCUCAGACUCUGUUUUACCGAGUCUUUGAUAACACGUGCAAUUUCCACAGGGUCUCCCUGAAAAUGACUGGAACAUUAUUCAUGGCAAAGAUAUGUGCAUAAGUUGAUUUACAUCAAUCAGAUACAAAUGCUAAAUUGCUAAUUAUGGUUGAUCAAACUGCAAAACACACGAGAUAUCCAAAAGGCUAUAUAAACAUGAUGGAGAGGCUAAAGCACUGAAACAACAGAAUCAACAUAAAGUAUUUUGUACUAUUAUGCAACUAAGCCUUUUGUCCCAAGCAAGUUGGGGCAGGCUAGAUAUGAAACCCAAACAGAAACUAAAGCAAAGUGCAGGUAACAAAAGAGCAAGAGAGUAAAUCAAGGUUCAGGCACAUGGACUGCUGAUUUCCAUGCAGCCCUAUCAAAAGCAAAAUCUCUAGAUACAUUCCAGUCCUUCAAGUCCCUUUAACUGCCUCCUACCAAAAGCAAAUAUCAUAGUAAUCCACCAACCAAAGUAACAAGGGAACUACUUGUAACUUCUUAGUUCACAAGUACAUACCAGUUGAGCUAUCCAAUUAUUCUAAAUAAUAUGGUUUGAUACCUUUACCAAAGUCUCAACUUGUAUUCAUUUUAAAGCUUAUACAAGAUAUUAUAUGUUAUGGCUUAACAGUCUCCAUGACACAAUAUGGCUUGACUUCACAGUUUAAUUCUAUAGGAUUAUCUUACCCUGUCUUCAGCAUCUCUAAUUGCAUCUGUCUCAGAAGUGAUGAUGAAUUGUUUUGUAUCGUUAUUCACCAGGCUGCACGCUGCAGAGCAAAAACUAAAUAACUUCAGAAGCUUUUCUAUGUCAGGUGAAAGAGAGAGAAAAAGACCGCCCGCCCCCCACCAAUAAUCCAAAACUGAGCUUCUAUUAGACCCCUUAAGAACGAAACAAGCAUGCAAAUUGAUCUAUAUAUAAUUAAAACCUCACCAUAUGCUAUAUUAAUUGCUGUUUCCAUUUUAUCUCCAGUUAGCACCCAAAUUUUUAUGCCAGCUGCAGAAAGAGUUUCAAUGCAGGCUGGAACCCCUUCUUGCAGUUUGUCUUCUAUUGCAGUGCACCCUAUCAAUAUAAGGUCCUUUUCAAUCAACUCAGCCACCUACAGGGGAAGAAACAGAAGGAAAUUAUAUGGCAAUGUCCCAGCAAUAUCUUAAAUCAGAAUAUACAUUAAGUCUAUUACUUCAAAUUCCUUUUUCCUAGAAAUCACAGUGAACUUAGUACAUGAAAGAAUGAAAGGAUAAUGCUUUUCUAAUGGGGAUUUGAAAAAACAUCAUAAAAAUAAUAAUAUAAAGUACUGUAUGUUCUUGUUCUAGAUAAAUUACAAAUAUCUUUUGCUCAUGAUCCUCUUUCCUGACUAAAAAAUAUAUAUUAUUAUGUAAAAUACUAAUGUUCUAUGGCAGUACAAGAUAAUAAAUUAGCACAAAAAACUAUUAAACUGCAAAUGUCAGCUGUUAGGGAUGGAUGACAUGACUCCUGUAGUUUUGGGGGGAGAGAGAGAGGAGACACACUGAACAAAUUACUUCCUUCGUCUCCAAAGAUUGCCAUGCCACAUUCUAUUCGGUCAGUCAACCUUUUACAACUUCAAAAUUAACAAUUAUAAGUGAAUUGAAUUACUACAUGAAAAAUAACAGCACUCAAUUUGCUUGCAUAAUAAUUUGUACGCAAAACUUUUGCUUGUAUAUUAGCAUAGAAAUCAUAGCCAGAGUUUUAUGUUGGGAGAAUAUAAAAUUAAAAAAUGGCCUACAUUUGUCAGGUACAUUCAGUUAAUUGUUUCCAAAACCAAAUUAAUUUUCAUACAUAAAUACCAAACGGAUCAAUAGCAUGCUCAACAGUGCACAUGAGACUCGAGUUCAGUACUGGAUGACAGAAAGUAAAAAAAAUCAGGCAAGCACUAGAAGGUGGAGGGGAAGUAAUCGAAAUUCAAAUCACAGGGACUGUUCAGCCUGUAUACUCAACAGAAGAGGAUGGUACACAUACCUCAUCAAGCUUCUUAUCACGAUCUCGUAAAGAAGAUUUAGCUUGAACAAACUUCUCAUUCCAGCUUUCGUACUGCUCCCUGCUUAGAUCUCGAUAAGCAAGGCAAAGCGUGCGCAAGCCAGCAGAGCCAAAUUGUUCUAGAUGUUCUCUGCUUGUCUUUUUAAUGUCAUGAUUUCCAUCAGCUAACCGUUCAAAAAUGACAUUAUCAGCGCCCUGUUACACAACAUUUGUAUAAGGUUAGUGCAUCAAUCUACAAAGUGAUAGCUACAUAAAGAUUCUUUUUUCUUGUAUUACCUUGCAAUACAGAACAAGUUUUCCAUUUGGGAAACGGCAAACCACAGAUUGGCGCUUUCUUGUACUGUGAGUGCAGUAAAGUGUGAAGUGCAGAACAAUGAUUUCAUCUUGUCAAAUUUAAAUUGAAAACAGAUAAACCAGACCUGUUGAAUUCCAAAACAUUCAGAAUUUCAUAUGCAACAUCUUGUAUACUCCCCAUCCUCUCAACAUGUGAUUCCCGAACCAAGACUGUGGUUGGCGUACGUCUACAAGACAGGCACAAAAUGUCAACCACCGGCAUUGCCAUUCACAAUAAAAAUGCCACAUGAAAUAAUUUGCAACAAAAAUCAUAAGAACUUAGAUGAGUUCAUGUUCACAGCACUUGCUUUAACACUUGUCUUAAUUUACAACGGCAAUUUUUUGUUGAUGGGCUAAUAGUUUAUUUAUGCUUCUUAGUAUGUACAUUCAGUCCUUCAUACAACAAACUAUAUAAGCAAUAACCUGGGUGAGUGACUCUUUUAUGCACAUUUUCCUUGGGACCAUAGCAUAGUUUUUUAAGAUACCUUGUUUGCAACAAACUGAUAAGAGGAAUCUAUAACUGUAUUUAAAGGCAAGGUAAGACAUGCCUAUAAAAGAAGAAACCAAAAUUCUUCGCAGCAGCGACAAGCGCGGCCUCGUCGGGAGAGGCAGCUUGAUAAGUAAUCUUUUCCGGUGUCUCCUCACCCUCAGGAAGAACUGUAUGACAGAUUGCAAGGCAUCUGCAGAAUUGCUAUAGAGCAAAUAACAAAGUUGUUACACAACUAGCACAUUAACAAGGGAAAAUGUGAAAAAGGAAAAUAGGUUCCAAAUUUUAUUAGUAAGGGCAUAUAUCGUGAUAUGUGAAUAAUUUGUGUCAACUAAAUCAAAACUGAUUAUGACCAAAGGGGAACCAAUCGAACUAUUCCACAGGUAGUCCCGUAUUUACCACGCAAGCAUCAGGAUUAGGUUCAUUUCUCCAUGCACCACGCAUUAUUCUAGCAUCAUCAAAGUUGAAUCCUUUCUCAUGAACUGCAGUGGCUGAUCUUUUACCCUAAAAAAGGCAAGUAAACUGGAUAUUAAAUCAGUUGUGCAUUAAAUUUUUCAUCAUAUACCACCACACUUCAAUAGCGUAAACAACAAAGAAAAUGUUGUAGACCUCAUCAUCAUCAAUCUUGACUCCGGCUCGCUCGGCUCCUCCUUUUUCAAUCUCUGUGAUGCCAGUUCCAUAUAUUUCCCCUCCAAUCGAACAUUUAAAGAAUUCCAUCAAGUUUCUUGUAAGUGUUCCAGUUUUGUCAGAAAAUAUAUACUCAACCUGAACCAUUAGUGGGGCAAAAAAAAUUUGGCAGAAAUGUCAAAUUAUUUGCAAGUGUUAAGUGCAUUUUAGUACCACUCGGCAUUUGUUCAGUCAUAUAAGCAUUUCUGGGGAUCUAGAACAGUUUUUCGGUGGGAGUAAGUCACUUAAUAUUAGUGAAAUGAGACUGUUCCCCAAGUGCUUAUAAUUGAUCCCACUUUCUGGAAUGAGUCGGUGCAGUGAGGUCAUUCUAUCCAUUAACCAAACCCAGCCAUAUAGGUCAAAUAAGUAAAUAACCCCAUUUCAGCAACAAACAAAGGGGCUUUCAUCAAACUAAACAGAAUGCUAAGGAACAAAAAAAAAACUGAUAUUACCUGCCCAAGCUCCUCAUUCAGAUUAGAAGUCCGAGCCAAAGCUGGGGUGUUGCUCUCGGCAUGAUACAUAUUCAGAUCAUUGUUAAUAAACUUUGCACACUGAAUGAAUUUGAUCAUCUGCCAGCCAAAAUAAACAUAAGGUCCAAUCCAAAUACAGGGUACACUAAAUGAUAAAUUGGUCAAUAUACCUCAAUGGAUACAUAAAGAGAAAUGGGGAUGAUCGUUGAGUAUAGAGUUAUUAGAGUAAACAUAGUUAAAAUGGUCACCUGCAAAAGUACAAACCUAUGAUAUAAGGCCACUUAGAGAAUAUUCUCUACAAUAAAUUAACUAAAAUAAUAUAUACCACAAAUCUGUUCUUGGGAUUAAACUGGUCCUCGACACGCCCACGCAAUCCAAGAUAGAAGUAUUUCUCAUUAAUAAACACGCCACUGUUCACAAAAGCCAAGUAUGAUGAGUCCAUUGGUAGAGUUUUAGGUUUCUAAAGAACGUGCAAGCUAAGCAGUCAUAGUUACCAAAAUCUAUAUGCUGAACAGAGCACUUCCAUUUCUGACCAUCUAGAAAGUGCCCUAUUAUGUACCUCCCACAUAAAACCACUAAGAAAAAAGAUAAGGCUAUUAAGACCUAGUCAUGUGCUCAUCUAUACUGCUCCUAUGCCACAAUAAAAAAAUAACUUCCCCAAACAAGCUCCUGACAACUCAUGUCAUAAUGUUUAAAGUUUAUCUCUCUAUUAACAGUUGUUUUUUCAUGAUCAAUUAAAUUGUGAAAAAUGAUUGUGCAAGCAUAAGCCUCCACAACAUCAACCUAACCGAUAUAACUCAUGUUCAGAGAAUAUACAUGUAAACAAUAAUACAAGAUAGAUAAGUCAAAUAAAUGAAGUGGGCCAAAUAAAACACUGACCUUCCAAUAGCACCAAUGACACACAUCGUAAAGAGGGUUGCAAAUAGAGCAAGAAUAAGCUUGUCUAGUUUCUUCUCCAAUGUACUUCUUUUAGAGGGAACAUUCAUAGAAUUCAUCAUAACCUGCAAUAGUGUCCCACUGCAGUAAAUCUCAAAACUAGAAGCACAUCUAACCUACAAGUUGAAUAUAUAGGGACACAAAAUUGCACAUACUUUCGUCUCAUGGCCCGUGAAUAUAACAGCCGCGACAAUGUACUCUGUAUUACGAAGGCUGCAUCCCUGUGGCAAAGUGGUAAUAAGAGGUUGCAUGUGUGCCACAUAAAGAGAGAGAAUUAAGUGUCAUGCAAGACACCGUUCAGUCUGGUGAAAGUAAACAUUUCUUUUGCACUUUACAAACAUUGCUUCAACCCUUCACCACUUAUCCUACAUAUGGGACUAGAGAAGAAAUGGAAGUUGUUUAUAUGAAUGUUAAACAUUUCCAAAUUGUUUAUAUCAUAGCUAUCCUUGUUUGCAAACCAAUAAGAACAAUAUUAUUAUAGAGGUGUUUUAUGAUGAAAAUUUCUGCUGGUGACAUUUGGGUGUCGUCAAUAUUGGUAUUUGGAGGAGAUGUUGGUGAUCAAAGUUAAAGGCCGAGUAAAGGCAUCACGCUAUGAUGUUAUUUUUUACCUGAGGGAUUUUCUUAACAAACUCAUGCUAAAUCUAGAACAUGCAAACAACUUUGCAGGUGGACAAUCUUGUAAAGAAAUUUCAAGGGCAUGUUUGUGUGAGGGGUAUUACUUUGGUACGUGUUGGUAACUACAUACCUAAUUGUUACAAGAAAAAUCUCAUCCAAACAAGCCCUAAGGACAUUAUGGACCUUGCUACUGCAAAGUUGGUAAGUCGAAAAUACGACAGGAUGUCUGAUUGAUAUGUAGGACCUGGACCCACAUGUCAUUCUCACAGCGAGUCGCACUAUUUCAAAUGUCAACUUUGUGGUGGCAUGGUUUCAAUUUUCCCAAUAAGAAACUAGAUACAAAUAGCAUAGAUGAACAGCACUUACCCUUAGUAGUAUUUGAUUUGGUGAAAUUGGUAUAGUUUGCUUGUCCACAAUAAGGUUCCCGGUAAAUGUAUAAAGUGAAUUGUUUGGCUGUUCGCAUUGUAUUUCACCUGUAAGCCAUGAAACAUACAGAUAAUGUGAAGUUAAGAAAAUGUAGAAUAGUUAAGUGAAGUUCAGAAAAGGAGCAAUGCUUCCUACACCAACUACCGAAAAAUGUCUGCAACAUGGAACAAGAAUAGAUAAAAACCUUUGAAUUCAGAAGCCUUUUCAGGAAUUACGCAGUCCCAGGUUUUCUCCAAAGCCUUCCUUAUUUUCAGGUUAGUUUCCCCAUCAAGAUUUGCUGUCUAAGGUAAAUAGAAGUAUGAUACACUUCAAUUAAAACAGAGUUUCUCUAAAUCAUUCAAUAAUUUCAAUUUGGACAAAAGAUGGAGAAGGUAAGAAUGAAUAUAUUGACCUCUAUGUAGCAGACACCAUCAGGGUUCGUACUU
rnacentral:lncRNA from 1 species